AUUGAACGCUGGCGGCAGGCUUAACACCUGCAAGUCGGACGAGUGGCGGACGGGUGAGUAAUGCUUGGGAAUCUAGCUUAUGGAGGGGGAUAACUACGGGAAACUGUAGCUAAUACCGCGUACCAUAGGAUGAGCCCAAGUGGGAUUAGGUCGUUGGUGAGGUAAAGGCUCACCAAGCCGACGAUCCCUAGCUGGUCUUAGAGGAUGACCAGCCACACUGGAAAUGAGAGACGGCCCAGAGUCCUACGGGAGGCAGCAGUGGGGAAUAUUGCGCAAUGGGGGCAACCUGACGCAGCCAUGCCGCGUGAAUGAAGAAGGCCUUCGGGUUGUAAAGUACUUUCAGUAGCGAGGCGUUACCUACAGAAGAAGCACCGGCUAACUCCGUGCCAGCAGCCGCGGUAAUUC
rnacentral:rRNA from 1 species